GUAGGAUAGGUGGGAGGCUUUGAAGUGUGGACGCCAGUCUGCAUGGAGCCGGCCUUGAAAUACCACCCUUUAAUGUUUGAUGUUCUAACGUUGACCCGUUAUCCGGGUUGCGGACAGUGUCUGGUGGGUAGUUUGACUGGGGCGGUCUCCUCCUAAAGAGUAACGGAGGAGCACGAAGGUUGGCUAAUCCUGGUCGGACAUCAGGAGGUUAGUGCAAUGGCAUAAGCCAGCUUGACUGCGAGCGUGACGGCGCGAGCAGGUGCGAAAGCAGGUCAUAGUGAUCCGGUGGUUCUGAAUGGAAGGGCCAUCGCUCAACGGAUAAAAGGUACUCCGGGGAUAACAGGCUGAUACCGCCCAAGAGUUCAUAUCGACGGCGGUGUUUGGCACCUCGAUGUCGGCUCAUCACAUCCUGGGGCUGAAGUAGGUCCCAAGGGUAUGGCUGUUCGCCAUUUAAAGUGGUACGCGAGCUGGGUUUAGAACGUCGUGAGACAGUUCGGUCCCUAUCUGCCGUGGGCGCUGGAGAACUGAGGGGGGCUGCUCCUAGUACGAGAGGACCGGAGUGGACGCAUCACUGGUGUUCGGGUUGUCAUGCCAAUGGCACUGCCCGGUAGCUAAAUGCGGAAGAGAUAAGUGCUGAAAGCAUCUAAGCACGAAACUUGCCCCGAGAUGAGUUCUCCCUGACUCCUUGAGAGUCCUGAAGGAACGUUGAAGACGACGACGUUGAUAGGCCGGGUGUGUAAGCGCAGCGAUGCGUUGAGCUAACCGGUACUAAUGAACCGUGAG
rnacentral:rRNA from 1 species